AGCUCCAAUAGCGUAUAUUUAAGUUGUUGCAGUUAAAAAGCUCGUAGUUGGAUUUCGGGUAGCCUUCGGCGGUCUCGCUUCGCGUUUGCACUGCCGCAGCCUGCCUUCUUGUCGGGGACGGGUCUACGGGCUUCAUUGCUUGGGGUCCGGAGUCGACGAUGUUACUUUGAGUAAAUUAGAGUGUUCAAAGCAAGCCUACGCUCUGAAUAUAAUAGCAUGGGAUAACACGACAGGACUCUGGCCUAUCGUGUUGGUCUGUAGGACCAGAGUAAUGAUUAAGAGGGACAGUCGGGGGCAUUCGUAUUCUGUUGUCAGAGGUGAAAUUCUUGGAUUUACGGAAGACGAACAUCUGCGAAAGCAUUUGCCAAGGAUGUUUUCA
rnacentral:rRNA from 1 species